AUUGAACGCUGGCGGCAGGCCUAACACAUGCAAGUCGAACGAGUGGCGGACGGGUGAGUAAUGUCUGGGAAACUGCCCGAUGGAGGGCGAUAACUACUGGAAACGGUAGCUAAUACCGCACACCAUCGGCUACGCCCAGGUGGGAUUAGCUUGUAGGUGGGGUAACGGGGCACCUAGGCCACGAUCCCUAGCUGGUCUGAGAGGAUGACCGGACACACUGGAACUAAGACACGGUCCAGAGUCCUACGGGAGGCAGCAGUGGGGAAUAUUGCGCAAUGGGCGCAAGCCUGACGCAGCAAUGCCGCGUGAGUGAAGAAGGUUUUCGGAUGGUAAAGCUCUGUUGUAAGGGAGGUGGUACCCGAAGAAGAAGCAACGGCUAACUACGUGCCAGCAGCCGCGGUAAUAC
rnacentral:rRNA from 1 species